GACAUAGAAAAAGAAUCGAGAGAGACGACCGAGAGAGAAUACGUACUCGGUUGGUUCUAGCGCGUGUGUGUGUGUGUGUGUUGUUGUUGUUGUGUGUGUGUGCGCGCGCUCGCGCAAGGGAGCGUCACGGUGAGAUGAAACACCAGGAAAGAAGACAAAGAAGGGAGUAUGUAUGCAGAAGAGAAACGGAAAGAGAUAAACGCAACAUUGUCGAGUUCCAUAGUAGUGAAACACACGCACACACAUAAGAGCGCUUAUAAUUUUUACGCUACGCGCAGACUCGUGUUGACUAUCGAAGUUUGUUUUCAAUCAGCCAGCAUCGCGUGAACUUGUUGCCCGUAUAAUUGGUAUAGUAUUGCGUGCCACCGUUUUACAUAAUUGACCAACUCCAAUAUUGUCUUGCAAAAAGUUUAACGAACAAAAGCACAUCAUUGCUGCAUCAUCCACAUCAUAGAUGCGAUAAUCAACCAGAUAUCGAUCACAUAUCACAUCGAAUUAACAAAUCGAGAAAAAUGCUCGAUCGCAGAAGGAGGAUAUAUACUUUAUGUACAUCCUUGUACAGUGCGUUCGUAUAAACGAAUAGAAAAUUGCGCUUUUGGCUCUUUAUACAAUUUUAUAAACAAUCGCUUGAAAACAACGUUUAAUUUAAACAUCGAGGAGAUUUAAUCGUUGAUCAGAAUCAACAAAUAUUAUUACGCAGAAAUGGAAUGCAUCGAACGAGCUUUUACGCUCUUACCCUGAGAACGCGACGGAUUUCUUGUCUAAACAGAAAAUUUAAAGGACAAUGUUGUUCGGUCGCACAAAAUAACAGCAUAAACCGGUUUCUGCACGUGGCAAGAGUUGCUCGAUCGUGCCCGGUGAACCGGCAGUACCCGACUACAAUACCUACCACCAUGCUAUCGAUUUACGUAACUUUCUUCCACUUUUGACACACAUUCCUCCCUAAGUUAUUUUGAAGUUCCAGGAUGACGAAACGGAAGAUAAGGCCAAAUGUGCGUUUGACUAGGUGGCUAAGAUGGGUUUAAGGGUUGCGGGUUACGUAAGUAUUAUGUAUGUAACUUGAAGAGGCUUCGUAGCUAUGAAUCAACCAGGUGCAACGUAAGCAGGUGCCAAAGGGCAAGGCGUAAUCGCGGAGAAACCGAGGGUGAAAAAAGAUAACGAAAGUUGAAUUUUCAAAAUGGUCACUGCUAGUUCAUAAUCGUUUUUCGAGUUGUCUCGAUUCUGUCACGUGAUGUUGACUGUUUUAGAUAGAAUCGAUCGUUUAAAUCGAUUUGGAAUACGUGUAUUUGUAACGGCGACGUUAAGAAGCUCGAUUACUACGACUCAUCGAACAAUAUUUGUAAAACCACGGAGAUGACCACGAAACUGUAUAUUGAUACAAAUUUAUGUAAUUACUUCAGGUUCUAUGCAUGACACGAUGAAAUCAUCGAGAAUUCAUUAAUUUUAACGAGUUAUUAUCGUUCUUCGGUAACCAGUGACUCAUCCAAACGGAUUAUCGCUGUACUCUAUCUCUUAUCGUUUAACGAAGCGAGAGAAAUGCGCGUUGCAAAUUUGUAUUGCGAACUCACCUAGUGCCGCCUUUCAAAAAUAAACGAAAUUUUGGUUAAAUUAUAGCGAUAUUUGGUUCUUGAAUAGCUAAUCUAAUUGGUUAAUGGUUAAUGACAUUUAGUUUAGCAGUGAGAGAAGAAACCAGAUAACGCGAACGAUGUGUAUAUUACAUAUCCCGUGUUAAUAAAGUUAAAGCAAAACAAUUACGGUGUGAUACAAGACGCGCAUAUUAUGUUAUGUAAUUUGACAAACCGGUCGCUCAGCACGAAUUGUCCAUCUCUCUAAAACUUUUAUUCGUAAACUUAUGGAUGUCUUUGAAUGAAAGUAUGGCUUAUUUAGAUGCAGUAUCGGAGCUAACGGUUAAGAAAUAGAUUGUAAUGAUUCGAAUUUGAAUAUUUUGGCGUCUAAUAUAACCUUUAAUUAGUCGAGCAACAACAACGACAACAGGUUAUGAAAACCGUUAAGAUAGCUUAAACGAUUAAUAAUACCGAAAUAGAUAAAUUUUCAGAGUUUUACGUAAUAUAAAUCGUUCGAUAAAACAAUCGAGAUUAAUACGCGGAAAAAAAGAAGUUGGUAAAUACGAUAGAGAGCAGAAAAGAGCCGAAUUUGUUCGAAUUACGCUACUUGUUUAAAAGAUAGUGAAAAGUAAUUGUGAUUUUUUUGUUUCGAGUGUUCACACAUGGCUAUGCGAAUUCGCGAUUGGAAAUAUUUUCGAAAAGAAAUUGCCGUCGAAUAAAUUUUCUCAAGAGCUAAUUGAUCCAUAAGCAACGAAGAUAAAAGGAGCGAGAACGAUAUACUCGACGAGCGUCGAUUGUCGAGCGUCGAGCGUGAAGGCAUGAUUUCACGCAGCACGUGGAUCCACGAUUCAGGGUCAAAUAAUAGGACGCGCAGAAGUUCUUUGUCCAAGGUCUUCCGCAUGAUAUUCAGUUUUGGUUGACUGUUUUAUCACGCGUAAAUUUUACACAACACCUUUGACGUUUUGUAUUUUUUGUUUGAAUGGCAAACUUCUUUAUGCUUGCGAAGCGAUAAAUUACAUACAGACUUAUAUCUACCUAUAUCUGCUUUCAAAAAGAGAGCGAUGCGUCGUAGGUAUAUGUUUGGUUAUUACAACUAAUCUAAUUCUAUUCGAUAUCAUAGUAAAAAAAUAUCUUGUUACAAUGCACAAAAAUUCGCAACUCCUUUUUCCUUUCAAAAUUUGAUCCUUUUGAUUCGCCACGACAAUGUAUAUAGGCGCAAUAUUCGCACACUUCGUAUCGUAUAAAUACAUAAAUGUACGUAUAUGUAAUCCAUUACUUGUUAUCUUAAGAUCAAAGGGACGUUGAUAGAUAUUAUCGAAUUGUAUGGAGAGGUAUGGAGAGCGAGAGAAAGAGAGAAUGAGCACCUUGAAUAGUGCAGAGUAUAGAACGUAUAAAGCAGUAUUAUCAAGAGAGACCGAGAGAGAGAGAAAAGUAUCGGUAAUAUUUCCAAAAAGAUUUUUAUUUGUAAUUCUAUCGUUAUGUAUUGCUUAAAGUUCACACGAAAUCUAGUAGAUCCUUACGACGACGUAAUAAGACGCGGAAAUAAUUUAGUUCGUUCGUGACCGCAUCGGUACAGUUAGUAGCAGAAUUAAUUGCAAAUCCACGUUUUCGCCAGCGAAUUAAUCAAGGUAUUAGUUUAUAAAUUAAGUCGACAUUUAUAGACACUUAAUAAACUGUAAAUUAAGGAGAGGAUACGAGACAAUUUCGAUGAUCAACGGUGUACGGUGUGAAAAACGGACGAAACCAUCCUCCGUGAAAAAUGCCAACGAACUUGCUUGACCCGGGAGGAAGACCAGUGGCCUGAUCUGGUAUCGAUCACACAUCAAAUUUCCUACGAUUCCGCGUUUCGUGGCAUUACCGUAUUCCAUGUUUUUCGCCGAUCGGAUCGCUAAAACAUCAAACCGGUCUACGAUUUCUACGAUCUACCCUGUGUACGCUCUGUAGCCUUGACUUUAUUGUAGCAAACGCGUACAGAUUUACAUACAUAUGUGCCUAAGUACCUUUAUUAUGACUGUGUCGCGAUAUCGCUAUCUCUUUUGCCCCUUUUCUUUUUGUAACAACGACAUGCAAAUUAUAUUCAUCGGCGAAACUCGUCGCGCGUAUCCGUCUCUUCUUCUUUUAUCUUAUUUCCCAGAAACGAACAUCCUUAUAGGUUCGCCUUUAUAAGGAUCCUUUUUGCGGUGAUACGUAACGUACGUACUACUUAGGUAUGUACAUGCGAUCAAUGAUGUCUCGUGAUGGUUCAACGCACACCAAAUAAAAAUAUGGAAAAUAGUAAAUAUUUUCUGCGGAACGAGCGCGAUAAGAUUAAGCAAGUGGUAUUUCUUUCUCGCUUGUCGCGAUGUACAAAGCGCGAUUUCUUGCGAUAAAGACAAGCUGUUGAACAAGCGAAUCGAAGGCAAACUCGUGAAUAGAUAAUGAGAAUAUUAGGAAUGAAUUAAAUACCCGAAUAGAAAUACAACGAGGUUCGAAUUGUCGGAUAAUUUUCGAAGAUCAGAGACAUUUUCGACGAAUAUAUAAUCGUAUUACGUGUAAUCUGACCUAUUACGAGAAACGAGAUAACGAGUUCGUCUCGCGUGAUAUAUCGGUACACUUGUCUGCGCGACAUUGCCCAGAAACGUUUUUACAAAACAAAUUUCCGAGGGAGGGAAGAGGAUAACGUUGCUUGCGCGUUGGCAUUCUUACGAUAACAUUACACGAUUUUGCACGAUAUCGAUAACGUCGUUAUUGAUAAGCUUGUCAAUAAACAAUAAAUUCUGUAAUCU